UACACUCCUGCGGGAGGCAGCAGUGGGGAAUUUUGGACAAUGGGCGAAAGCCUGAUCCAGCCAUGCCGCGUGCAGGAUGAAGGCCUUCGGGUUGUAAACUGCUUUUGUACGGAACGAAACGGCCUUUUCUAAUAAAGAGGGCUAAUGACGGUACCGUAAGAAUAAGCACCGGCUAACUACGUGCCAGUAGCCGCGGUAAUACGUAGGGUGCAAGCGUUAAUCGGAAUUACUGGGCGUAAAGCGUGCGCAGGCGGUUAUGUAAGACAGUUGUGAAAUCCCCGGGCUCAACCUGGGAACUGCAUCUGUGACUGCAUAGCUAGAGUACGGUAGAGGGGGAUGGAAUUCCGCGUGUAGCAGUGAAAUGCGUAGAUAUGCGGAGGAACACCGAUGGCGAAGGCAAUCCCCUGGACCUGUACUGACGCUCAUGCACGAAAGCGUGGGGAGCAAACAGGAUUAGAACCCCAGUAGUCCC
rnacentral:rRNA from 1 species